CACUAACUACAUAUUCCAGAUUCCAGGUUUACACUUGACUUUGAGCUUUCAGCAAGAUAAGAAGAAAAGAAAUAUAUCUUUGGUUGUUCCCCACCAUGGAUUCAAAAUAUCCAGAGAUAGUCAUCUCUCUAAAGUCAUUUCACAUCUGUUACUUCAUCUUCAGGAGUCACCCUGUUUUCAAAGGCCAAGACCCAACAAGCAAGCUGUUCCCUGAGCUUGACAUAACAGCAAUACUUUGUGCUCACCUUCUGGAUGAACUCAACUACAGCAAAAUCCUAGGAAUGUUUCAUACCAACACCAGGUGAUCUCUGAUCUUGGAAAAGUACAUGCAGUACCCAUGCCCUGGUCACGAAGCACUCCCAUGAAUCAAAUUUGCCUCAUCGUUGAUGCUCCCCCUCAUUGACAGGGCUACAGCUCACUGUGUAACUACUAGUGUAUGUAUUGAGAUGUGCCCACACUAAAGAUGAUCUACUAGAGGAGGCCCCAGCACAUGUAUCUAGUUUCCCUCCUUCAAUGGAAUAAAGGUUUUUUUUUGCUUGUGA